rnacentral:lncRNA from 1 species
UCUCCUUUCCCUUUCUUAUCUUUUUCUAUUACUCAGGGCGACCAUCUUGUCCAGAGACCUCGUGUUGUAACUCCUAGUUGGAGGUUGGAUUAAAGAUGAUGGGGUCCAUCUGAGGGCAAAUUUAAGCCUUGCCAGUUUGAUACUGGAUGCUAAGCAGAGUGGCUAAUGUCUAUAUUUUAUCACAUGUUUUGCUUUGGCCAGAACAACAACAACAAAACAAAAAACAAACAAACAAAAAAUCCUUUAGGAUGUGGCUUGGCCCCCAGGGCAAUGGUGCCGCAAGCAAGAUCACUAGGGCCGCUCAGGGAAAGGGAACCCAGAACGCUGGCAUGCCUGGAAAAGGAGACAGUGUCUUGCUGUGUUGCCUAGGUUAGUCUCUAGCUCCUGGACUCAAGUGAUCCUCCUGCUUCAGCCUCCCAUAAUGCUAGGAUUACAGCAACAGAUGAGCAAAACAACAAGUAACACUAUUUUUCUUUGGGACUAAAACCAAGACAUGUAGAGAGAAGAUGAAACACAGAAGUCAUGGGAUAUUCCAUGGAAGAUUGUGCUGAUUUCCUCCUCAUAAUUUUGCUUAAAAGUGGAAAUGGACUUUACAUACGCUUAAAUAUCUCUGCAUAUGGACUAUUUGGAAAUUUACCUGUAUCUACCUUGAACUUAUCAAAACAACUUUGAUACCUGUGAUUAUAACAGGAUAAUGAUGAAUUUAUUUAAAUUUACUAAGCAUCCACAAUGUGUCAAGAAUCAUGUUUGACUCUGUAAUGUGCUUCAGAAGUAUACUUAUUUCCUGUCUUCUGUGGAGAGGAAUUUUUUUUUCAAUUUUUGUUAAGCUACAUACUUUCAACUCAAAGCACAUAAUUUUUGUCAAUAAGAUCAUCACUCAAUUUUCAAUAUUUUUGUUCUUUUUAAUGUCUACAGUUUUAGUUAAAGUAAAUUUAGCUGUGGAUAAUUAUGCCCCAAUAUUGUGUUCCAGCAGGGUUAAUCAAAAGUAACAUUUGCCCCAGUGAAAAGGCAUUGUUCAAUGCCAGUUUAUUCACUCUUAAAAUAACUUAGUGUUUUAUUUUUGGAUUUGGUGAACAAGUGAGUUUUUGGUCAUACAUUCAUGUAUUCUGAGUUGAUUAAGAGUUAAUUGAUAGAAAUAAGAUAAGUAGGUUUUACUAAGCGAGAAAUUUUAUCCAUACUCUUUACUUCAAAAUGCUUUUUAUUCUUUUAUCAACUUCAGCUAUUUGUUAGAACAGAAGUUUUCAACCCUGUCUGCUCAUUAGAACUGCCUGGAAAGUUUUAAAUAUUCAGAUGCUUAGGCUAUAAAAGAGACCAAUUAAAUAAUAAUUUAUUUAAAAAUCACAAGCCUUAUGGUGAUUGCAAAUGAAAAAGCAUACAACAGAUAUACAAAAUAUAAAAAGCAAGAAAUCAAAUAACACCAGAGAAAAGGGAAAUAAGAAGAAAUGAAAGAGGAAUGAGAAGACCAUUAAACAACUAGAAAACAAAUAACAAAUGGUGGGAGUAAGUCCUUACUCAUCAGUAAUGAAAUUGAAUAUAAAUGGAUUAAACACUCCAAUCAAAAGACGCAGUGAAAAGACAAACCACAGAAUGGGAGAAAAUAUUUGCAAAAUAAUCAUUUGACAAGGGAUUAAUGACCAGAAUAUAUAAGGAGCUCAAACAACUCUAUAGGAAAAACUUCUAAUAAUCUGAUUUAAAAAUGGGCAAAAUAUUUGAAUAGGCAUUUCUCAAAAGAAGACAUACAAAUGGCAAUCAGGCAUAUGAAGAGGUGCUCAACAUCAUCGAUCAUCAGAGAAAUGCAAAUCACAACUACAAUGAGACAUCAUCUCGCCCUAGUUAAAAUGGCUUUUAUCCAAAAGACAGCCAGUAACAAAUGCUGUUGAAGCUGUGGAGAAAAGGCUGGAAUGCAGUGGUAGGAGCACAGCUCACUGCAGCCUCAACCUCCUGGGCCCAAGUGAUCCUCCCAUCUCAGCCUGCCAAAGUGUUGAGAUUACAAGUAUAAGCUGCUGUGCCUGGCCAGAAGAUUUCAAUCACUGCAAAACUUGUAUUGGAAAGUGCUAAUAAAGAAUUGAUUUUCAGUGAAUGGUCUGUAUUCCAUCAUCAUUGGCCUUACAUAAAAGUUUGUUAAAAAUGCAGAUAAUUACUAUGAUCAUUAAUAUUUGAGAAGUUCAUUAAAAGUGCUCUAAUUUACUAAUAAUGAAUUUAUUUAUUUUAUGUUUUUAUUUUUAUUUUGAAACAGAGAGUCUCGCUCUGUUGCCAGGCUGGAGUGCAAUGGCACAAUCUUGGCUCACUGCAACCUCUGCCGCCCAGGUCCAAGCGAUUCUUGUGCCUCAGCCUCCCGAGUAACUGGGACCACAGCUCUGCACCACCACUCCUGGCUAAUUUUUUGUAUUUUUAGUAGAGAUGAGGUUUCACCAUUUUGGCCAGGCUGAUCUUGAACUCCUGGUCUCAAUUGAUCCGCCCGCCUCAGCCUCCCAAAGUGCUGGGAUUACAGGCGUGAGCCACUGUGCCUGGGCUGACAAUGAAUUCAAAUAACAGAUUUCGCCAAAUGUUUGAUGCUUUAUGUCUUAAUGAUAUCAAAUUAUAUGUUAUUAAUUCAUUUAUAAAUAUUAAUCCAAUAUUAUUUAUUGAGCACCUACAAUUGGCCAGGCACUAUGCUGGGCACAUAGAAACAAAAUAAAAAUGGUCUAGGAUUUAUUUUGGAAUAGUAUAGAAAUUAGAAUAAUAACAAUAAAGAUAUUUAGAUAAAUUAGAUAGAAAGAAACACAUUUUUUCUAAAUGCUAUGAAGGAAGAAGUUACAGAGAACAAUUGGGAAGUAAAGAGAUACAAGAGAAGAUUGUCGGGACUGUUAAAAUGAUAACAUUAAAUGUAAGAACCAAAGAAUAAAAGAGUCAGAGAGGAUAAUUCAGAACAUUGCUUACUCAUGAGUAGGUUUCAUCUGUGACCAUCCAUAGAGAUUGUGAACAUCGUAAUGCAAAACUGAUGUUCCAUCACUAAGAAUCUGCUCAGCUUCCAUGCAAAUUGUUCUGAAAUGUAAUCCAUCAGUUCUUUUUGUGAGUUCUGGAAAGAAUCAAUGAAAAAAUAUUAAUAUAUUAUACAGUGCCCUACAAUGAAACGUGUAACUCAUAAUUAUGUAUUCCUUGACAAAGAAAUUAAUCAGUGUUUUAUAAAACCUAUGUAUAUUUUAACCAUUUGUAUACUUUGUAUGAGUUAAUUAUCAACUUAAAAUGGCCUGAAAUUGUAACUGAAUUACAUGAAUUAAUAAAAACCUGA